rnacentral:rRNA from 1 species
GAUGAACGCUAGCUACAGGCUUAACACAUGCAAGUCGAGGGGCAGCAUUAUCUUAGCUUGCUAAGAUAGAUGGCGACCGGCGCACGGGUGAGUAACACGUAUCCAACCUUCCGGUUACUCGGGGAUAGGCUUUCGAAAGAAAGAUUAAUACCCGAUGUUGCGUAUCUUUCUCCUGAAAGAUACGCCAAAGGAUUCCGGUAACCGAUGGGGAUGCGUUCCAUUAGGCAGUUGGCGGGGUAACGGCCCACCAAACCUUCGAUGGAUAGGGGUUCUGAGAGGAAGGUCCCCCACAUUGGAACUGAGACACGGUCCUA